rnacentral:rRNA from 1 species
AACGAACGCUGGCGGCAUGCCUAACACAUGCAAGUCGAACGAACCCUUCGGGGUUAGUGGCGCACGGGUGCGUAACGCGUGGGAAUCUGCCCUUUGCUUCGGAAUAACAGUUAGAAAUGACUGCUAAUACCGGAUAAUGUCUUCGGACCAAAGAUUUAUCGGCAAAGGAUGAGCCCGCGUAGGAUUAGCUAGUUGGUGGGGGUAAAAGCUCACCAAGGCGACGAUCCUUAGCUGGUCUGAGAGGAUGAUCAGCCACACUGGGACUGAGACACGGCCCAGACUCCUACGGGAGGCAGCAGUGGGGAAUAUUGGACAAUGGGCGAAAGCCUGAUCCAGCAAUGCCGCGUGAGUGAUGAAGGCCUUAGGGUUGUAAGCUCUUUUACCAGGGAUGAUAAUGACAGUACCUGGAGAAUAAGACUCCGGCUAACUCCGUGCCAGCAGCCGCGGUAAU